GUGGGAAACGUCAUCCAGGGCAGCACGAUAUAAACCUGCGUCGCGAGCUGUCCGGUCUUUCUGUGAAGUGCUCAGCGCGAGAUGGAGCUGUUACAGGCGGCAACUAGGCUGUUGAGUAGCAGAAAUGAGAACUAUUUCUGCCCUAUACGCCUUUUCCCCGUUUGGAUAGAGGCUUUUUUAGUAUCUCCUUUUGUAUACUGUGGAAAAUAGGUUUAAUUUUCUAUCCUAUUUUUUUAAAAUGUGAUUGCUCAUGAAGCGUGAGAGACCGCGUGUCUUGAACUACAUCUGUCUCAAAUCUGCUGCAGACCAAGGCUGCGGGUGGAGGCCCGGAGGGUGGACCCGGACUGCAUCGCCACAGGCGCGGAGGUCUGGAGGUCCAGGGCGCACGUGUGCAGGCCUGCGUUGCUCCUGGGGCGCUUGA
rnacentral:lncRNA from 1 species